ACAAAGGCUCUUUUAAGAGCCACCUAAAUAUCAAUGAAAGAAAUUU
rfam:Danio rerio chromosome 7, GRCz11 reference primary assembly.